GAUCCUGGCUCAGAACGAACGCUGGCGGCGCGUCUUAAGCAUGCAAGUCGAACGGCAAGAGAGAAGCUUGCUUCUCUCCUAGAGUGGCGGACUGGUGAGGAACACGUGGGUAAUCUACCCUUAAGAUGGGGAUAGCUGUUAGAAAUAGCAGGUAAUACCGAAUACACUCGAUAGUUCAUAAGAAGUAUUGAGGAAAGGAAGCUACGGCUUCGCUUGAGGAUGAGCUUGCGUCCCAUUAG
rnacentral:rRNA from 1 species